rnacentral:siRNA from 1 species
UAGUACUAGGAUGGGUGACCU